rnacentral:lncRNA from 1 species
AUUCAUUUUUAAGGCAUACGUUUGUUUUCAGGAUCAAGAAUACUGAGCUAGCUUUAAAUAGCAAACUGAUUUAUAUAUGCAAUUAUAGGAUGCAUUAAGAUGAAUGAUAGCCUUUACAUACUGAAAACUUUACUGCAGAUAUUUUGUUUUAAAAAUAGCUUUGCAUAGUAAAUGCAAUUACUUUUGUAAAACUAAUUAUGUUAAGCCGUAUGUUCAGACACUUUCUGCCAUGGCCAAAAAGUAUGUAUGAAAGUGUGUGUGUAUUUUCUGUGAAAGGAUGCCAGUGUUUUACCUGAUAUUGUAGUGACACUUCAGUUAUCUAUGCAUUCUUUGUAUCUGUGAUUCGGUAAACAGGCAGCCAUGUUCACUAUGCCUUGUAUGUCUUAUCAUUUUUUUAAUUAACCUGUUAAAUACAUUUAUUUUUUAAAAGCAGCUAGAUAGACGCAUACUUGCCACCUCAUACGUGUGCUCCUUGGCCACAUCAAGGGCAAUAGCCAACAUGCCUAUGGCUAAAAACUU